GAUGAACGCUGGCGGCGUGCCUAAUACAUGCAAGUCGAGCGAACGGACGAGAAGCUUGCUUUUCUGAUGUUAGCGGCGGACGGGUGAGUAACACGUGGAUAACCUACCUAUAAGACUGGGAUAACUUCGGGAAACCGGAGCUAAUACCGGAUAAUAUUUUGAACCGCAUGGUUCAAAAGUGAAAGACGGUCUGGCUGUCACUUAUAGAUGGAUCCGCGCUGCAUUAGCUAGUUGGUAAGGUAACGGCUUACCAAGGCAACGAUGCAUAGCCGACCUGAGAGGAUGAUCGGCCACACUGGAACUGAGACACGGUCCAGACUCCUACGGGAGGCAGCAGUAGGGAAUAUUCCGCAAAGGGCGAAAGCCUGACGGAGCAACGCCGCGUGAGUGAUGAAGGUCUUCGGAUCGUAAAACUCUGUUAUUAGGGAAGAACAUAUGUGUAAGUAACUGUGCACAUAUUGACGGUACCUAAUCAGAAAGCCACGGCUAACUACGUG
rnacentral:rRNA from 1 species